AAUUCCAGCUAGAGACAGAGGGAGCGAGCGGGCGGGCCAGCAAGGGUGGAAGAGCUCCGCAAGCAGAGCCGAUCUCCGGGCGACCGGGAAGGGAGACCGGAGUGAAAGAGGGGCUUCGCCUCUGGCCCUGAAGCCCCCACUCCAGCCCUCCCGCUGACUCCGCACCAGCGGUCCGCAAACCCUCGCAGCAUCCAAGAAACUUUGCCCAUAGCAGCAGGCGGGCACUUUGCACUGGAACUUACAACACCCGAGCAAGAACGUGACUCUCCCGACCCGGGGAGACUAUUUCGCCUAUUUAGGGACACUUUUCCCCGCCGC
rnacentral:other from 1 species